rnacentral:rRNA from 1 species
AGGGAAAAGCUCAAAUUUUGAAUCUGUCGUCUUUGGCGAUCGAGUUGUAAUCUAGAGAAGUGUUUUCUGCCUUGGACCACACAUAAAUUCCCUGGAAUGGGGUGUCAAAGAGGGUGAGAAUCCCGUUUGUGGUGUGGACUCCCUUGGCUCUGUGAUACACUCUCAACGAGUCGAGUUGUUUGGGAAUGCAGCUCAAAAUGGGUGGUAAAUUCCAUCUAAAGCUAAAUACUGGCGAGAGACCGAUAGCGAACAAGUACCGUGAGGGAAAGAUGAAAAGCACUUUGGAAAGAGAGUGAAACAGUACGUGAAAUUGUUGAAAGGGAAGCGUUUGAAGUCAGUCACGUCGUCUGGGACUCAGCCUUGCUUCUGCUUGGUGUACUUCCCAGUCAACGAGUCAGCAUCAGUUUCGACCGUGGGAGAAAGACUUGGGGAAUGUGGCUCCUCGGAGUGUUAUAGCCUCUUGUUGUAUGUCUCGGUUGGGACUGAGGAUCGCAGCGCGCCUUACGGCCGGGGUUCGCGCCCUCGGUACGCGCUUAGGAUGUUGGCAUAAUGGCUUUAAGCGACCCGUCUUGAAACACGGACCAAGGAGUCUAACAUGUGCGCAAGUGUUUAGGUGUUAAACCUGGGCGCGUAAUGAAAGUGAAAGGUCGGGAUCAUGUACUUGUGCACCGACGCCCGGAGCAGACCUUCUGUGACGCAUCCGCGGUAGAGCGUAUAUGUUGGGACCCGAAAGAUGGUGAACUAUGCCUGAAUAGGGUGAAGUCAGAGGAAACUCUGAUGGAGGCUCGUAGCGAUUCUGACGUGCAAAUCGAUCGUCAAAUUUGGGUAUAGGGGCGAAAGACUAAUCGAACCAUCUAGUAGCUGGUUCCUGCCGAAGUUUCCCUCAGGAUAG